CCUACGGGUGGCAGCAGUAGGGAAUCUUCCACAAUGAGCGAAAGCCUGAUGGAGCAACGCCGCGUGCGUGAUGAAGGUCUUCGGAUCGUAAAACGCUGUUGUUAGAGAAGAAAAUGCGUGAGAGUAACUGUUCACGUUUCGACGGUAUCUAGCCAGAAAGCCACGGCUAACUACGUGCCAGCAGCCGCGGUAAUACGUAGGUGGCAAGCGUUAUCCGGAUUUAUUGGGCGUAAAGGGAACGCAGGCGGUCUUUUAAGUCUGAGGUUAAAGCCUUGGGCCUAAACCGCGUCGUGCUUUGGAAACUAGGAGACUAGAGUGAAGAAGAGGAGAGCGGAAUUCCAUGUGAAGCGGUGAAAUGCGUAGAUAUAUGGAAGAACACCAGUGGCGAAAGCGGCUUUCUGG
rnacentral:rRNA from 1 species